rnacentral:rRNA from 1 species
UACGAAGGGGGCUAGCGUUGCUCGGAAUGACUGGGCGUAAAGGGCGCGUAGGCGGUUUGUACAGUCAGGUGUGAAAUUCCCGGGCUCAACCUGGGGGCUGCACUUGAUACGUAUGGACUGGAGUGGGAAGAGGGUCGUGGAAUUCCCAGUGUAAAGGUGAAAUUCGUAGAUAUUGGGAAGAACACCGGUGGCGAAGGCGGCGACCUGGUCCUUGACUGACGCUGAGGCGCGAAAGCGUGGGAGCAAACAGG